CCCUGAUCCUUUUUACUUGUAAAGUUUAGACCAUAUUUAGGUGCCUUCGGUACCUUUUUCAUAAAAAAAGAUGAAAACGUACCUUUAUUCCAGAACCAAGACUGUCUCCUCCCUGAAGUCAAUCUGCCCACCGUGAGAUCAUCAGUUCUGCAGAUCUCUGUCCAAUGCAAUGCUUCUAAUAAAACCAUUUAACGAAAUACUUGAGAAACAUUUGUUUCUAGUUCAAGGAAACCCUCCUUGUUGGCUCACUGACAGCAGGAAGGUGUAUGCGACUAAGG